CUAGUACUCCCUUCGUCCGGAAAUAUUUAUCAUCUAAAUGAAUAAAAGAGAAUGUAUUUAGAUGUAUUUUAGUUCUAGAUAUAUCUUUUUCUAUCCAUUUUGAUGACAAAUAUUUCCGAACAAAGAAAGAACGUG
rfam:Triticum aestivum genome assembly, contig: Triticum_aestivum_CS42_TGACv1_scaffold_112070_2AS